rnacentral:rRNA from 1 species
GACGAGUUUGAUCCUGGCUCAGGAUGAACGCUAGCGGCGAACAUAACACAUGCUAGUCGAGGGGCAUCACCAACGAUAAGGUGGUUUCCUUCUCUUUGGUGGCGACCGGCAAACAGGUGAGUAAAACAUAUGUCACCUUCUUUAUGCCGAGGAAUAGUUUAAGGAAACUUAGAGUAAUACCUCAUAAUACAAGAUCCGUCUCCUUGUCAAAGGGUUACCGGCAUUAAAUGGACAUCUGACUGAUUAGCUAGUUGGAGAAGGUAACGGCUCACCAAGGCCAUGAUCAGUAGGGGGCCUGAGAGGGCGUACCUCCACAUUGGUACUGAGACAAGGACCAACCUUCUACGGAAGGCAGCAGUGAGGAAUCUUGGUCAAUGGAGGAAACUCUGAACCAGUUACGCCGCGUGCAGGAUGACGGCCAGAACGGUUGUAAACUGCUUUUGUGUAUGAAGAAAACAUUCUAUUCUUAGAAUACUUGAAGGAAAUAUACGAAUAAGUAUCGGCCAACUCUGUGCCAGCAGUCGCGGUAAGACAGAGGAUACAAGCGUUAUCCGGAAUUAUUGGGUUUAAAGGGUGCGUAGGUGGGGUGUUAAGUCAGUAGUGAAAGCUCACAGCUUAACUGUCAGACGGCUAUUGAUACUGUCACCCUCGAGUUAGAUAGGAGUAACUGGAAUGUGUGGUGUAGCGGUGAAAUGCAUAGAGAUCACACAGAACACCGAUAGCGAAGGCAGGUUACUAGAUCUCAACUGACACUGAGGCACGAAGGCAUGGGUAGCAAACAGGAUUAGAUACCCUGGUAGUCCACGCAGUAAACGAUGAUCACUAACUGUUGGAUAUCCUCUAGACCAAACCUAUUCAGUGGUUAAGCUAAAGUGAUAAGUGAUCCACCUGAGAAGUACGAUCGCAAGAUUGAAACUCAAAGGAAUUGACGGGGGCCUGCACAAGCGGUGGAGCAUGUGGUUUAAUUCGAUGAGACGCGAGGAACCUUACCAAGGCUUAAAUGUGCUACGAAUACCCUAGAAAUAGGUUAGUCUUAUGACGGAGCACAAGGUGCUGCAUGGUUGUCGGCAGCUCGUGCCGUGAGGUGUAAGGUUCAGUCCUUUAACGAGCGGAACCCCCAUUAUUAUUUGCCAUCGGGUCAGCCGGGAACUAUAAUAAAACUGCCAGCGUAAGCUGUGAGGAAGGUGGGGAUGACGUCAAAUCAUCACGGCCCUCAAGUCUUGGGCUACACACGUGCUACAAUGGUUGUAACAAAGAGAGGCCACUGGGUAACCAUAAGCAAAUCUCCAAAAACGAUCUCAGUUCGAAUUGGAGUCUGCAACUCGACUCUAUGAAGCUGGAAUCGCUAGUAAUCGUGCAUCAGCAAUGGCACGGUGAAUACGUUCUCGGGCCUUGUACACACCGCCCGUCAAGCCAUAGAAGUUGGAAGGACCUUAAGUCAGUGACGUCAAAGAAUCUGCCAAGGGUCAAAUCAAUAACUGGGGCUAAGUCGUAACAAGGUAGCCGUACCGGAAGGUGCUGCUGGAACAUC